AUGAGCAGCAGAGCGCAGCAGGGCGAGAAGGGCUCCGAGUCAGCCGCCCGCACGAGGCCUCUGAGCAUCCAUGAGAUCUUGCUGCGGCGGGAGAAGAAGGCCCUCGCAGAGGCUAAGAAGGCCGCCGCGGAAGCUAAGAAGGCCAGGGAAGAGCUCCAGGGCAAUGAUAAGGGUAAACCUAACCACUCGGAGCCGGGAAGAGGGCACAAGAGCACAAAGGAUCUCGAGGAUGUGCCUGUGGAGGGUUCCAAAAAGGAGAGCGUUAGAGAUGCGACAAGGGAGGACUCCAAGAAGGAUGAUGUGCGACGUGCGUCUAAGGAGGGUUCCAGAAAGGAGAGCAUUAGAGAUGCACCCUCCAAGAAGGAUGAUGCGAGGCAUGCAUCUAAGGAGGGUUCCAAAAAGGAGAGCAUUAGAGACGCACCAAAGGAGGUCUCCAAGAAGGAAAACUUGAAAGAGAGGCCAAAAGAUGGCUCCGAGGUGGAUGAAUUGAAAGAUACACCAAAGGUUCCAAGGAAGGAUGACCACAGAGAUGCACCAAACAAGGGCUCCAAGAAAGAGAGGUCCUCUGUAAGAGAUGAUAGUCAGUCAGCUGGCAAAGACAAAGAUGCUCAUGAUCCGCAUAAACAUAGCACAAGCAUGAGAGGCCGGCCUGCUGAAAGCAAGGAUGGAAACCAUGGUGAAAUCAGAGCAAGAAAUGGUGAUGUGACAAGAUCUGAGUCUCUAAAGGGACCGGGGAAGAGAUGGAAUGGCGAACCUGUUCAUAAUGAUAGAAUCAUGGAGAGGAGCGACAAGCUCCGGAAUGAAGCAAAAAGGAAAAUCCAUAGUUUUGAUGAGGAAAAGCCUUCAUAUGUUGAUCGACCGGUGCUGAAGAAACAUGAUUCCGCGCGAUUCCGAGUUUCCAAACACUAUGACAUAAAUGAUGCAAGGAGAGAGUACGGAAAACCAUACCGUGAAGAGCCCAGGUCAAAAAGGAGAAGGUCAAGAAGCAGGGAUCAUGAUCAAGGAAGACGUGACAGAUCUCUCUCACUAUCCCCAAGGGAACAAAGGCGUAGCUACCAUGGAAAUGAUCAUGACAAUUAUCCUCCUGGAAGGAAGUAUGCUGAAAAUGACAGGUACAGAACAUCUGAUAAUUUGGACAAGGUGGUGGGUCGUACCAGAGAUAUGAAAGUCGGCUUGGUGGCUACUCACCAAGGAAAAGGAAAACAGUACCACAAGACGAACAAUUGA
rnacentral:rRNA from 1 species